rnacentral:rRNA from 1 species
UGGCGAGUGGCGAACGGGUGAGUAAUACAUCGGAACAUGUCCUGUAGUGGGGGAUAGCCCGGCGAAAGCCGGAUUAAUACCGCAUACGAUCUACGGAUGAAAGCGGGGGACCUUCGGGCCUCGCGCUAUAGGGUUGGCCGAUGGCUGAUUAGCUAGUUGGUGGGGUAAAGGCCUACCAAGGCGACGAUCAGUAGCUGGUCUGAGAGGACGACCAGCCACACUGUGACUGAGACACGGCCCAGACUCCUACGGGAGGCAGCAGUGGGGAAUUUUGGACAAUGGGCGAAAGCCUGAUCCAGCAAUGCCGCGUGUGUGAAGAAGGCCUUCGGGUUGUAAAGCACUUUUGUCCGGAAAGAAAUCCUUGGUUCUAAUAUAACCGGGGGAUGACGGUACCGGAAGAAUAAGCACCGGCUAACUACGUGCCAGCAGCCGCGGUAAUACGUAGGGUGCAAGCGUUAAUCGGAAUUACUGGGCGUAAAGCGUGCGCAGGCGGUUUGUUAAGACCGAUGUGAAAUCCCCGGGCUCAACCUGGGAACUGCAUUGGUGACUGGCAAGCUAGAGUAUGGCAGAGGGGGGUAGAAUUCCACGUGUAGCAGUGAAAUGCG